rnacentral:rRNA from 1 species
UACGUAGGGUGCAAGCGUUAAUCGGAAUUACUGGGCGUAAAGCGUGCGCAGGCGGCUUUGCAAGACAGAUGUGAAAUCCCCGGACUUAACCUGGGAAUGGCGAUGGUGACUGCAAGGCUAGAGUUUGGCAGAGGGGGGUAGAAUUCCACGUGUAGCAGUGAAAUGCGUAGAGAUGUGGAGGAAUACCGAUGGCGAAGGCAGCCCCCUGGGAUAACACUGACGCUCAUGCACGAAAGCGUGGGGAGCAAACAGG